rnacentral:tRNA from 1 species
GGGAAUAUAGCUUAGUGGUAGAGUGCUUGCCUAACAUGCAUGAAGCCCUGGGUUCGAUUCCUCAGUACCA